rnacentral:piRNA from 1 species
UAUUAAUGAAGAGGCUAGGCAUGUCAAA